rnacentral:tRNA from 1 species
GCAGCGAUGUCCCAGUGGUUAAGGAGAUUGACUUAAAAUCAGUCAGGCUCUGCCCGCGAUGGUUGGAAUUCUGCUCGCUGCG